UGAAGGAGAGCAGCGAGGGACAUCUGGGAGCGUUUGGAGGAAAGAAAGAAAAGGAUGAAUGCUGUGAUUAAAAUAUGAGCUCAAAAGUGAGCAAUGAAUAACAAGAAGGCAGCUUUUAUGUUUGUAGAGAAAUAUGAAUGUGGGGGAUUCGUUUUCUUCUUUGCUCUGAUGAUAGAGUUGCAGACUCUACGACCUCUCAUCCAAAGACAGAGCAAAGACCCAAGCAAAAUUGUCUUCAAGGUUGAAAGGACAUGACCUACAGAUGCAAGAAAAUCCCACAUGCUCUAAUAAAGAUACCAAAAAUUAUGUCCAAAUACACAGAGAAACUGGAGAAAAGAUUAAUGCAGCUCUCAACUUUCAUCAGAGACCCUUCCUUUGCAUUGGAUGACACACAACACGUGCACUCUCAAAUGGUCAAGUACAGAACAUACAUAACGGAGGAGUGCUCAGCCCUAAAUGUAACAUCUGUAAUAGAUCUCUCCACCCCAAGACUCAGAGAACAUCACAGAGGAGGUGCCAAAAUGAUUUGAAGAGACAGAGACAGUGGAGGACUUCUGUGACCUGAAAGCGCUCUUACAUUUUGAGCUUCCAGGAGUUAUGAUUGCCUACAUUAAGACUUCAUCAAAAGUCUUGGAUGGGUGGGUGGUAGCUCCUGAGCGACCACCCUCACUGCGUACUAUUGGCAGUUCAUGAAUGCUGGGGCAAUUGGAAUCAUUUCUCUGGGAGUAUGUUCAUUGAUAGGUUUUCCAUGGUGUUAUGGGUUUUCCUGUGUCUGUGUGCAGGGGUCUACCUUCAGUGGCAUGGGUUGUCCUGUGUCGUCUGUGUGCAGGGAGGAUCUACCUUCAUUUUUCUGCAUUGAAUAUUUAAUUUUCCACAUAAAUGCCUCUCUGGGUUUUGUGUCCUCCAUAAUUCUUUCACUAGUGUCUUAAAGAUUUAUUGUAGAGGUUUUUCAUUGCUUCAGUCAGAUUCCUUUCUAUCUAUUUUACUGGAUUAAUUUUAUCACUGUUGCUGUUGAAGUGGGAACAGAACCUAUGGCCUUGAGCCUCCUAUUUAUUAUUUGAUCAGGGGCUAUUGUGAAUUUAAAAAAAAAGUUAGUGUGUUAGUGUUAUGUAUAUAAAAUGUUUCUUUUUAUUUGUUGAUUGUGUUUCCUAUAGCUACUGAAUUUUUCUGUUUCAAUACAUUUAGUCAGUUUUUUUUUUCUGUAUAUAAAACCUACCUGAUACCCCCCUUUUCUGGUUGAAAAUUUUAUUAUUAUUUUAUUUCUUUCUUCUUAUGAUUUCUCUCAUUUCUCUUUGACUGUUCUGAGUAAGAGCGGCAAAUGUGGACAUCUUCAUU